GAUGAAGAACGCAGCGAAAUGCGAUAAGUAAUGUGAAUUGCAGAACUCAGUGAAUCAUCGAAUCUUUGAACGCACAUUGCGCCCCCUGGCCUUCCGGGGGGCAUGCCUGUUCGAGCGUCAUUAUAACCACUCAAGCUCUCGCUUGGUAUUGGGGUUCGCGGUUCCGCGGCCCCUAAAAUCAGUGGCGGUGCCUGUCGGCUCUACGCGUAGUAAUACUCCUCGCGAUUGAGUCCGGUAGGUCUACUUGCCAGCAACCCCCAAUUUUUACAGGUUGACCUCGGAUCAGGUAGGGAUACCCGCUGAACUUAAGCAUAUCAAUAAGCGGAGGA
rnacentral:misc_RNA from 1 species